AAAAUGAUAAAUUUGCUAUUAUAUACAUAAAAUAAUUUUAAAAGCCAAAAGUAAAAUAAAAUAAAAGAGAAAAGAAAAAAAAAAAAAAUAAUCUCUUCCAGAUCUCACCCACUUCCCAAUCCACCUACGCCCAAACUAAACUUGCUACUUUCGGCCACCACUAGACGGUGACUUUAGCAUUCGCAUCCGACCCGGCUCCAGAGACCAAGAAGCGCGAGUCGAGAGGCAUAAUGAAGCUCACAAGGAGGUGAAAUCGGAACAGUUCUUCUUUUUACCAUUCUCUAGCGGCGGAUCCACUGAGGAAUCGGAGUGUAGGAACUUGAGAUGGUGAAUUCCGUUCUUCUCCUACCAGAUUUUAAACUCCAUUCCCCAAGUGAAGUCAUCUCUGUCUCACCAAUAUUCACCUUACAGCACAUACCCGCCAUUGAAUAUCAAUCUCGUAAAAGUAUGUUGGGUUUUAUAGUAGCGAAAAUAAUUUUUGGUAGUUGGUUUUGAUUUAAUGUUGGUGGUUGGUUUUGGUUUGAUUGUGGUGGUGGCAAUGGUGGCGAUUUCCGAGCGACUGUUGUGCGUGAUGGUGGUAGCUGUGCCGAUCCUCCAAAUGUGGUGGUGGCGGUUUACGGGCAAAAUUGUGGAUUUGGGGAGGGGGAGGGGGGGUGGAUGGGGCGACGGCUGCUGUGAUCAAUAGUGGUUAGUCGUCGACGAAGAGGCAAUGAUGGUGCCGACAGUGUGCCAGCCAUUCGACUGUUGGCUAGAAAGAGAAGCCCAUUUCAUUUUUUAUUUUUAUUUUCUAAUUUUUUGUUUAUUUAUUUAAUGUAGUAAUUGUAAAAUUACUAUUUUACCCAUUUAUAUUUGGUCAAAAUUAAUCAAAGUCCACAUUUCUUGGUCAACUAGAUGGUUUU
rnacentral:lncRNA from 1 species